UACGUGAGGGACGAACGUUGUUCGAUGUCACUGGGCUUAAAGAGCGCGUAGGUGGCUGUGCAAGUAAGGUGUGAAAGGCCCCGGCUUAACCGGGGCAAUGCGCCUUAAACUGUACGGCUUGAGGACCAGAGAGGAAAGAGGAACGUCGAGAGUAGCGGUGAAAUGCGCAGAUACUCGACGGAAGGCCAAAGGCGAAGGCAUCUUUCUGGCUGGUACCUGACACUGAGGCGCGAAAGCGUGGGGAUCAAACGGG
rnacentral:rRNA from 1 species